UACGGAGGGUGCAAACGUUGCUCGGAAUCAUUGGGCGUAAAGCGCACGUAGGCGGCCUGUUAAGUCGGGUGUGAAAGCCCUGGGCUCAACCCAGGAAGUGCACUCGAAACUGGCGGGCUUGAAUAUGGAAGAGGGUCGCGGAAUUCCCGGUGUAGAGGUGAAAUUCGUAGAUAUCGGGAGGAACACCAGUGGCGAAGGCGGCGACCUGGGCCAAUAUUGACGCUGAGGUGCGAAAGGGUGGGGAGCAAACAGG
rnacentral:rRNA from 1 species